AGUCGAUCGCUGGAAACUAGCUUGCUAGGCGGAAGGAGAGGCGAACGGGUGAGUAAUACAUAAGCAACCUGCCCACGAAGACUGGGAUAAUCCUUGGAAACGAGGACUAAUACCGGAUAGGUUACGAAUUCGCAUGAAUUUGUAAUUAAAGGUUAGAAACACUGGUGGAUGGGCUUAUGGUGCAUUAGCUAGUUGGUGAGGUAACGGCCCACCAAGGCGAUGAUGCAUAGCCGGGCUGAGAGGCUGAACGGCCACAUUGGGACUGAGACACGGCCCAGACUCCUACGGGAGGCAGCAGUAGGGAAUUUUCGGCAAUGGGGGAAACCCUGACCGAGCAACGCCGCGUGAGUGAUGAAGGUCUUCGGAUUGUAAAGCUCUGUUGUAAGGGAAGAAUGAAUUGGAUAGAAUCCGAUUGUGACGGUACCUUACCAGAAAGCUACGGCUAACUACGUGCCAGCAGCCGCGGGUAAUACGUAGGUAGCGAGCGUUAUCCGGAAUUAUUGGGCGUAAAGGGUGCGUAGGCGGCUUGUUAAGUUUAAGGUGAAAGAAUGGGGCUCAACCCCAUAAAGCCUUAGAUACUGGCAAGCUAGGAGUACUGGAGAGGGUAGUGGAAUUCCAUGUGUAGCGGUAAAAUGCGUAGAUAUAUGGAGGAACACCGGUGGCGAAGGCGGCUACCUAGACAGAGACUGACGCUGAGGCACGAAAGCGUGGGGAGCAAAUAGGAUUAGAUACCCUAGUAGUCCACGCCGUAAACGACGAAUGCUAGAUAUCGGGGCAACUCGGUGUCGAAACUAACGCGAUAAGCAUUCCGCCUGUGGAGUAUGCACGCAAGUGUGAAACAUAAAGGAAUUGACGGGGGCCCGCACAAGCGGUGGAGUAUGUGGUUUAAUUCGACGCAACGCGAAGAACCUUACCAGGCCUUGACAUCCCUUGGAAAACUCUAGAGAUAGAGCAGAGGUAUCAAGGA
rnacentral:rRNA from 1 species